CUUGACGACCAUAGAGCGUUGGAACCACCUGAUCCCAUCCCGAACUCAGCAGUGAAACGAUGCAUCGCCGAUGGUAGUGUGGGGUUUCCCCAUGUGAGAGUAGGUCA
rnacentral:rRNA from 3 species